UACGUAGGGGGCAAGCGUUGUCCGGAAUUAUUGGGCGUAAAGAGCGUGUAGGCGGUCCGGUAAGUCAGCUGUGAAAGUCAAGGGCUCAACCCUUGAAUGCCGGUUGAUACUGUCGGGCUAGAGUCCGGAAGAGGCGAGUGGAAUUCCCGGUGUAGCGGUGAAAUGCGCAGAUAUCGGGAGGAACACCGGUGGCGAAGGCGGGUCUCUGGGCAGUAACUGACGCUGAGGAGCGAAAGCGUGGGGAGCGAACAGG
rnacentral:rRNA from 1 species